GUAUCUUCCAUCAUUUUCAAUAAAUAAUUUUGGCCACGAUAAAAGAAUUGACG
rnacentral:sRNA from 15 species